rnacentral:rRNA from 1 species
CUACGGGAGGCAGCAGUCGAGAAUUUUUCACAAUGGGCGAAAGCCUGAUGGAGCGACGCCGCGUGGGGGAUGAAUGGCUUCGGCCCGUAAACCCCUGUCAUUCGCGAUCAACCGUUGUUAUUUAAAAGAUGACAGCCUGAUAGUAGCGGAAGAGGAAGGGACGGCUAACUCUGUGCCAGCAGCCGCGGUAAUACAGAGGUCCCGAGCGUUGUUCGGAUUCACUGGGCGUAAAGGGUGCGUAGGUGGUGAGGUAAGUCGGAUGUGAAAGCUCGGAGCUCAACUCCGAAAUGGCAUUGGAAACUACCUUGCUGGAGGAUUGGAGGGGGGACUGGAAUACUUGGUGUAGCAGUGAAAUGCGUAGAUAUCAAGUGGAACACCAGUGGCGAAGGCGAGUCCCUGGACAAUUCCUGACACUGAGGCACGAAAGCUAGGGGAGCAAACAGGAUUAGAUACCCCCGU